GACGAACGCUGGCGGCGUGCCUAAUACAUGCAAGUCGAACGCAGUGGGGACGGGUGAGUAAAACGUGGGUAACCUCCCAUCAGAGGGGAUAACACUUGGAAACAGGUGCUAAACCGAUACUGAUGGAUGGACCCGCGGGGCAUUAGCUAGUUGGGGGGGGAACGGCUCACCAAGGCCACGAUGCAUAGCCGACCGGAGAGGUGGUGCGGCCAACCUGGAACUGAGACACGGCCCAGACGCCUACGGGAGGCAGCAGUAGGGAAUCUUCGGCAAUGGACGAAAGUCUGACCGAGCAACGCCGCGUGAGUGAAGAAGGUUUUCGGAUCGUAAAACUCUGUUGUUAGAGAAGCGGUAUCUAACCAGAAAGCCACGGCUAACUCCGUGCCAGCAGCCGCGGUAAUAC
rnacentral:rRNA from 1 species